GGGAGAAGGUGAUCCACAGGAACUUGCUGAUGCAGGUUAAUUUCCUUCCUGUGGGGGACACAUGUGAAAUGUCUGACCGGGCUUCAUCCCUGCUAGUUACAGGAUCCUCAGCUUCAGGAGAUGAUGGUGGUGAGGCGGAAGAGGUGCCUGGGAGAAGGAGUGAGCCUCGCAGUGUGGCUAGUGAAAGCGUUGACACUGAAAGUGACAGAGCACCUCCUGUAACUGUGGAAGAUGGACAGGGCAUCUUGACUGAUGCGGUGCCUGUGGAUUCGGAGAGGAGAACCAUUGCAUGGAUUACUCAGUUGUCUGUGCCAAGUCUAGCUGAGGCGGAAACUGCUGACAUGACGAGUGUUACUUCUGAUCUCCAGAACACAGCUAUCUCACAUGAGGACCACACAGCUGAUCAGUCUGUGUCUGGUGAUUCUUGCCCUGUGACUGCUGCAGAUGUCUCAGCAGAUGUGAGACAGUCGGACUUUGAUCUUGACACCACGACACAGACGGACAACACAUCUGACACUUCGCACACUGUGGUUGAGGUCUCACCCGCACACUCUGGUGGUUUUAAUGCACAGGUCAGGUCAAGAUUUGGUCGCAUAAUUAAUCCUGUGAACAGGCUUAUACAGACCAUGUCCGGGCAGGAUGUUGUCCAGGAGUAGCUCAAUGUUGGGGCUGUUUGCAACUCCAAAUUCCAGAUUUUUACUUUUUAAAAUCAUAAGCCGAUAGCUUAUGCCCGUAUGGGUCUGGAAAGUGUUGUAUUAUAAUGUCCCACUGUUCUGUUUUCCUUACGUCAUGGGCCAGUAUUGCACUGCACUUUGUGUGGGUCUUGUGGGGUGUACAAGGCACCCCGUUGCCAGUUGUUGGGUUGAGAGGCAAGCACUGCUCUCGUACCACUUCAUCCUUAUGGGAUACAUUUUAUGUUGGUUUUCUUGAUGUUGGCCCUUUGUAGGUUGUCUACCUGUAAUGUUUUCUUUGGCGUGCACUCUGUAGUCAGUGCUCAUGUUUGUUAAAAUUCAGUGGGGGUGAAUGUAACGGAGUUAGAAAUGUAUUCUGUCAUUUCUUGUUUUCAAUGUGUUGUAUUUUAUUUUUGUUUGUUGUUCAACAAUAUUGUUGAGUGUUUGUGAAUUUUAUUUUAAUGAGCCAUUUUUAUUUAGCGUUAUUUUUAAAAUUCUGUUUCCUGCGGAAAUUGCUUUCUAUCUCUGUUGUACUUCCUGCUCCCGAGUUCGUCUCACCGUCACAAUGGCUUUGUAUUGCUGAAGGUGAGUCGAGUGAGGAACGAUGUCGAACUAUUUUCUCUGUAUUCUUUAAUAAAGUGACCGUUUAUGUCACAUACAAUAGUGGAACGUUAAUACGAUCCCGGCGUCCAGCUGUCGUAUCAUUUAGACCGUUAAAAUAUACGUUUGGUGGCAGUUUCGUUGAGCCAGUUUGGCGCCGUUUGUUGAGCUACAUCCGGUCGCCCCAACGUAUACUUUCUUUGUGUAAAUUGUUUUGUUUUGCGUGUGUAUAGGAAGCGGAAGUACAGAGACAGACCAGAAGGAAAUUGUGUGUGUUCUGCUCUUUCCUGCAGAUUCAAUGUGGUCCGUCUUCCCCGCACAAUGGCUUUGUAUUGCUGAAGGAAGCGGAAGUACAGAGACAGACCAGAAGGAAAUUGUGUGUGUUCUGCUCUUUCCUGCAGAAUAAAUAAGUAUUGGGAAAAUACA